rnacentral:rRNA from 1 species
GAUGAACGCUGGCGGCGUGCCUAAUACAUGCAAGUCGAGCGAACGGACCAGAAGCUUGCUUCUCUGAUGUUAUCGGCGGUCGGGUGAGUAACACGUGGAUAACCUACCUAUCCGAAUGGGAUACCUUCGCCAAAUCGUAUCUACUACCGGAUAAUAUUUUGCACCUCAUGGUUCAAAAGUUAAAUACGGUCUUGCUUUCACUUAUAGAUUGAUCCGCGCUGCAUGAGCUAGUUGGUAAGGUAACGGCUUACCAACGCAACGAUGCAUAGCCGACCUGAGAGGGUGAUCGGAGAGACUGGAAGUGAGACAGGGUCGAGACUCCGACGGGAGGCAGCAGUAGAGAAUCUUACGCGAGGGGCGAAAGCCGGACGGAGCAAAGCCGCGGGAGGGAUGAAGGAGUAAGGAUGGGAAAACGCUGUUAUUAGGGAAGAAGAAAAGUGUAAGUAACUGUGAAGAUAUUGACGGUACCGAAUCAGAAAGCCACGGCUAACUACGUG